rnacentral:lncRNA from 1 species
AAUAAACUUCUAUAUACAACUUAAGUUGUAGUAAAAAACUAUAAAUCUAUAAUCAUCCCAUGCUUUAUCUUAAUCCAAUUAUUCCUGAAAAUAAGAGACUUCAUAGCUUCUUCAUUUCGAAUUUCCUAUAGACAAGUACAACUUUUACUUUCUUUUGGCAUUUCUCAAAUAUUAGCUCUCUAUAAACUUGAGAAGUGUUUAUAUGGGUUGAGAAAAGCUCCUUGUUGUUUCCAUAAAGGUAAAUAUAUCUUGAAUUCUUAACCUUUUGGAGGAAUUUAUAUCUUUAGGUUUACGAAGAGAAAAUGCCAACAAUCUUCAGCUAACCCACUUGAACACACCCUUCUUUCCUCUAUUGACAACUAAGAUUACUGCGGGGAUCUCAUAAUCGGGCUUUGGUUCUCGAAUGAGUUUGAUAAACCUUCGUCUCUAGAGCUGGACCCAAUUGAGGUUUUUAGAUUUAUAGAAACCCAUGGCCUACUUCAACCCAAGAACUAAUUCAAAAAUAGAAGAUUCCUCAAGUUUAUAUUGUUAGCCUAGUUACCAUUAUCCUUGAGAUAAUAUCCUCAACAAUAUUCCCAUUUUACGGCGCAGUUCGGAGAUGAUACAUGUAAUGGUAGGCAAUCUGGGGGGCUGAAUCCAAUUUGGUAAUCGCCACCUUUCGGCUGCUUUAAAAUGAAUAUUAUUGAUGCUGCAAUGGAUCAGACGGCUGGGAUAGCAGGACUUGAUAGGAGACAGCAAGAUUCUGGGCCUAGUCCUUUCUUGGGCUUCUCUCCCUUUUUAAACUUGUAGUUUCAUUUUCGUAAUGGACCUUUUGCUCUUCUUAAUUAGGCCUGGGCAUGCUGUAAGUGUUUUCUUGUCGGAGUUAAAGCGAGUGAUGACAAACUUUACGCAACGUGGCUCCUGCGUUUCUACUGUGCAAGUCAUUUUUAUUAAUCAAUUGUCUACCAUACUAUUUACUUUGAAAUAAAUUGAUAUUUCAUUCAUCAUAGAGAACUUUGAGUACCAUCGUACAUCCACUACAAACACACAUAAAAAUCGAUUAACAGAUUAUUUAUUGCAAGUAGACAAUAGAUUAAGUUAUUGUAUUUUCAAGUUAUGAGAGGAAAAACGAUUAUUUAUAAAAUGCAAUGUAUAUUCAUUCUUCCCUUAAUCCACAGGUAAUUAAAGUUUUAAUAAAUAGAUGUAUACAGGUAAUUGCCUAAGGUCUACCAAGCUUCUCAGUUAAUCUACUCAAAAGAAACUUCUCAACAGUCACGUUUUGAUAAAUUGGGAUAUUUUUAACGCCUUUAAUCUUUGAAAGCUCACUCUUAGAAUUGGUUGCCGAGUUUCCGACUAUUAAUUCAACUGUAGUCAUUACUACACGCACACAUAUUUAUGCUUAUGAUACAGUCAGAUUGAAUCUGUUAUAGGCUAAUUAAUUACAAUAUGUUUCUUUUACAAGCUAUAUGAUUGGACCUUAAUUAAUGAUCGAAGAAGAAAUUAUAAGAUUAAGUACUUCUCCUAGAGCUAAUAUUAAUGUAACAAAACAACUUCAGAUAUUUCCCAAUAAGCCACUAGAUCAGGAUCAAAUCCACCAGUCAAUAUUCCACGAGAUUUUUCCAUUUCAUGAAUUAAUAGGUCUGCCAUCACUAGAUUGAGUACGGAAAUUAAAAAAAAAAAAAGAGUAGAAAUGAAAAAUAAAGGAAAUAUCAAUCAUACCUUUUCUUCAGGAGAAAUCAGAUGGAGGGUGGCGCUGGUUUUUUUAUCUAAAGAUGACUCCAUGGAUAAUCCCUUGAAGCCCCAACGCUCUAUUUUUUUUUUGGUUGUUUAAGAAUUAUUUUCGACAAAGUACUUGAACUCGGGGAGAGAUAGGCCUGGAGACAUAUAUAGAUAAGGCAGCGUCUUACGGUCCUAAUGCUGCAACGUGGUCCAAUUCCUUCUCAACGGAGAAAACGUUCUGUCAUCGUCAA